rnacentral:rRNA from 1 species
GACGAACGCUGGCGGCGUGCUUAACACAUGCAAGUCGAACGGAAAGGCCCCUUUGGGGGUACUCGAGUGGCGAACGGGUGAGUAACACGUGAGUAACCUGCCCUUGACUUCGGGAUAACUUCAGGAAACUGGGGCUAAUACCGGAUAGGAAUCCUUGCUGCAUGGUGGGGGUUGGAAAGCUUCGGCGGUUUUGGAUGGACUCGCGGCUUAUCAGCUUGUUGGUGGGGUAGUGGCUUACCAAGGCUUUGACGGGUAGCCGGCCUGAGAGGGCGACCGGCCACAUUGGGACAGAGAUACGGCCCAGACUCCUACGGGAGGCAGCAGUGGGGAAUAUUGCACAAUGGGCGGAAGCCUGAUGCAGCAACGCCGCGUGCGGGAUGACGGCCUUCGGGUUGUAAACCGCUUUCAGCAGGGGCGAAGCUUGUGGUGACGGUACCUGCAGAAGAAGCACCGGCUAACUACGUG